UAGGUCUGCACUCCUCCCCAGCUGCCUCCUUCUGAGCUGGGUUGAUCCCUUUUUAAUCCUAUCUUCAUUUGGAGCAUGCUCUGCAGGGCUGAAGAGAUGGGGCUAGCUGGGCCCCAUGUAGUCCUUUAACCCCUUCCAUCCCAGGGUGAAGUGUGAAUAGCCCAUCACACUCUGAUAAAACUUUGUACUUUUAAAGCACCUUUUAACUGAGGAUCUCAUCAUGUUUUACAAAUUGCAACUACUUCAUUAAGCCUCUCUGUAUGCCUUUCAGGAAGGACCUGCAUCUGAAAGGCUUUUUCUUCCACCCAAGAGCUGGCUGAAUGGAUUCACUUCCCUACAAAGCAUCUCAACAUUGGUCCAGAGCAGGAAAAGAGCUGCCCCUGUAAACAGCGUGCUUGCCAUCUCUGCCUGAUAACAUGGAUCCUGCACUGCUCUCCACUCUUGUGAAGAGCAUUAUGAACACAACAUGGCUGAUCCUGCAGUAUUUCAUGAGCUGUAAUCUGAAAAAGAAUCUGUGAUGUCUGCCAUUCUGUGUGCCAUGGAAAGAAACAAUUCAAGAUUGAUGUUGGCAUUCACGGAGCAGCUGCACAUAGUGGACCAUCACCAUCAGGAUCGGGAAACAAGCUCUGAGUGGUGGGUUCGCAUUGUGAUGCAGCUAUGAAAUGACAAGCAGUGGCUGCAGAACUUUCAGAUGUGCAAAGUCACCUUCUUGGACCUGUGUGUGGAGCUGGCCCCUACACUGCGGCGCAAGGACACCAAAAUGAGAGCUGCCCUCAUGGUGGAAAAGCGAGUGGCGAUCACACUGUGAAAGCUAGCAACUCCAGACUGCUACUGGUCAGUUGUGAAACAGUUUGGAGUUGGAAAGUCCACUGUGGGGAUUGUGGUGAUGCAAAUAUGUAGGGCCAUUAAUCACCUCCUGCGACAAAGGACUGUGACUCUGAGCAAUGUGCGGGAAAUAGUGGAUAGCUUUGCGGCAAUAGGAUUCCCUAACUGCAGCACUGUGAUAGAUAGCAUGCAUAUCCCAAUUUUGGCCCCAGACCAUCUUGCGAUUAAGUACAUCAAUAGAAAGGGCUACUUCUCUAUGGUAUUGCCAGCGCUGGUGGAUUACCAGGGUCAUUUCACUGACAUCAAUGUGCGGUGGUCAGGGAAGGUGUAUGAUGAUGGCAUCUUUAGGAACACUGCCUGUAUAGAAAGCUGCAUGCAGGGAUUUUCUUUCAAG